AAACGCAGAAUUUGUUUAUUACUUUUACGUGUAUUUACAGCGUAUGAAAAAGUACAAGUAGCUAAAUAAGUAAAAAUUUACAUGAAUAAUUGAGAUCGUAAUUAGUUUUCCAUCUUCCACAAAUGAGGGCCCUGAAGGGGUAAAAUGGGAACUGGGAUUGAUCUAUUUUUAGACUGGGAAAAUGGGAUUUGAGUUGCUGGGACUGGGAUUUGGCCACUGGGAAUGGGAAAUGAAGUCCUCAAAAAUGAG